AUAGUACUCCCUCCGUCUGAAAAUGUUUGUCCCUCAAAUGAAUGUAUCUAGCACCAAAGUAAUGCUAGAUACACUCAUUUAAGAGAUAAGUUUGGGACAAGUUUUUCCGAACGGAGGGAGUAUUUG
rfam:Triticum urartu cultivar G1812 contig682573, whole genome shotgun sequence.